UUACAAUGGAGAGUUUGAUCCUGGCUCAGGAUGAACGCUGGCUACAGGCUUAACACAUGCAAGUCGAGGGGCAUCAUGCGGGUUGCUUGCAACCUGUGAUGGCGACCGGCGGAUGGGUGAGUAACGCGUAUCCAACCUUCCCUUAACCGGGGCAUA
rnacentral:rRNA from 1 species